rnacentral:rRNA from 1 species
GACGAAGGGGGCUAGCGUUGUUCGGAAUUACUGGGCGUAAAGCGCGUGUAGGCGGUUGUCCAAGUUGGAUGGGAAAGCCUUGAGCUCAACUCAAGAAAUGCAUUCAGGACUGGGCGACUAGAGGACCGGAGAGGAUAGUGGAAUUCCCAGUGUAGUGGUGAAAUACGUAGAGAUUGGGAAGAACACCAGUGGCGAAGGCGGCUAUCUGGACGGUUUCUGACGCUAAGACGCGAAAGCGUGGGGAGCAAACAGG